UACAGAGGUCUCAAGCGUUGUUCGGAUUCACUGGGCGUAAAGGGUGCGUAGGCGGUGGGGCAAGUCUGAUGUGAAAGCUCGCAGCUCAACUGCGAAAUGGCAUUGGAAACUGCCCCGCUAGAGGAGUGGAGGGGGGACUGGAAUACUUGGUGUAGCAGUGAAAUGCGUAGAUAUCAAGUGGAACACCGGUGGCGAAGGCGAGUCCCUGGACACCUCCUGACGCUGAGGCACGAAAGCUAGGGGAGCAAACAGG
rnacentral:rRNA from 1 species